ACAAGGAGGGAGGAGGCGGCAGUGAGCGGGAGCGGGUGAGUCAGCAGCAGCUGGAGAAGUAAAGAGGCACAAUGAAGCGCUUACAGCUUAGCAGUCCCUGGACCAGAUUCUCCCUCUCUCUAAUCUUGGGAUUAUAAAGAAUGUAACCCAUAAAUUAUUGACCUCCAUGCUAUAUAAAGACACUUCUGAGCAUGACUUCAAUACACAUUGCCUAGACGAAGAGCAAGUGGCUCGAAACGCGUUGACUGUGGGGCGGAGUCACCCCUGGUAGAAAGAAGCCUGAUCCAGAAGUCUGCUACUGCUGAUGCCGGGUCUGUUGCGUUCCAGAAGCCCUGAUCCACUUUACAGCUGUACAUACUGAUUUCUGCUAAAUCUCCAAUCUACACUAUCUGAGUGUUUCUUAUGAAAUCGUGCGUCUC